rnacentral:lncRNA from 1 species
AGAGCAAGGGCUUCAGGGACUAUCUCAUGAGUAUGCUUCUGUGGCUCAGGUGCCAACUGGGAUCUCCCCAUUGCUGCUAUCAAUGACAUGAAGACAUCUCCAGAGAGAAUCAGUGGGCAGAUGACUUUCACCCUCUGUUGCUAUUCUCUGACAUUCAUGAGAUUUGCCUACAAGGCACAACCUCGAAACUGGCUUCUGUUUGGAUGCUGUGUAAUAAAUGAAGUAGCUCAGCUCAUUGUGGGGACGGCUUAUCAACUCUGAGAUGAGUAAGCAGACAUCUGCA